CACCACACUGCAAUUAUGAACAUUGGAAGAUUCUGACAGUCUCACAUGAGAAGCAGUUUUCAGAGGUGGCUGUGUAGUGGUAUCCUGGAUUAGUAUCAACAAGAAAAUGCCAGCAGAUGACUAGGUUGUCAGAAGCCUGCCUAUUUAAACGCCAAUCUAAUACACUGGAACUGGUUUUGAUACAUGUCAAGUAGAACUGAAAUCCUUGGUUCAUUUAAGG